AAAAGCUGCACUGAUCUAGUUGCCACUCAAAUCCAUCCGCUACGUCAUCUUUCUCUCACACUGCCACAGGCAAUUUUGUUGGGGUGGUCGUCCGCCUUUGACAGUGAGCUCAACCUACUCUCCUCCGGUUGCUGAUGGAUGACAGAGACUGGUGUCUCCGAGGUAUACAUGUAACUGACGGCAUUAUGAACUGGGAAAUCUGCAGAGGCCAGGUGCCAGAAUCUCACUGGUCACCAUGGUAACAGUUUCUAGUUUAGCAAGAAUAACAACUUGUACAUGCAUGGCAUGUACCGUAGUUUUAUUUAAUCACUCUCAAAUUGAAGUACCUUAAUGCUGAUUGGCUUUUAUUUUCCUAAAUAUCCUCACUUGGAAUUGUGAAUACCUUAAUUGCUUGUGUGUUUGUUGUGGGUUUGGGGUAUCUUUCAGAAGUUUGCCCUGCCGUUUUGGAAAUUGUCUCAACCAUAAUCUUCUUUCAUCUUUCAUGUUUGCAGUUCAGCUGCUCUUUUGAAAACAAGAGUUAAAGUCAAGAAAUAGACCAGACAUGCUUCUACAAUCUUCCAUGUUUGAGAACCUGGGGAAGAAUGAGCACGAGUGUGCCCUCACUGGUGAAAAAGAAAGAGGCUGGGCUGACUGACUGCUGUUCCUUGGGAAACACAACCAAACAAAGGAAUACCAAAUUGAAAGAAGGGCCCAACUCCAACAAAACCAUUUUUGAGUUCAAACGAAAGAACUGACAAUAUUUUUUGACGGAGUUGCACAGGAAAUCAAUUAACUCUCCUUGGCCAAAAUGGUAGAGUUGGGCCUUUCUUUUUAAUCCUAUUUCUGGUUUCCUGGAGGCCUGUUUGUAUCACACGUCAGUGAUCAGUGAUCUGUCACUGGUUCACCGACACUGAAACCUGCCUAAUGAAUAGUGUGAACCAGCCUCAUCCAGAUCUCUGUGAAACAUACAGGCCCUUUAUAGUUGACAGUAGAGGUACGGGCAUCACAGGCAAGGUGGCAGGGGGUACUUGCUAUCCAGAAAUUUAGAAUUAAAGGAAGAAAAGACAGAUAAAGAGAAACAAAAAAUACAGGGAAUGAAAAUGGUCAAAAUGGCCAACUUGUGUGAAAACGCCUUGGAAUUGACCCCUUGCAACGUUAAUGAUCGUUCUGCUGCUGAUUAAAGGUUUUGUGCCCUCAAAGGAAAAAUCCUGGCACCACCCGCACGUGGAGGCAACUUUGAACGAGUUUUGUGAACAAGCUCUCAUGUACA